rnacentral:rRNA from 1 species
AUGAACGCUAGCUACAGGCUUAACACAUGCAAGUCGAGGGGCAGCAUUUUAGUUUGCUUGCAAACUAAAGAUGGCGACCGGCGCACGGGUGAGUAACACGUAUCCAACCUGCCGAUAACUCGGGGAUAGCCUUUCGAAAGAAAGAUUAAUAUCCGAUAGUAUAUUAAAACCGCAUGGUUUUACUAUUAAAGAAUUUCGGUUAUCGAUGGGGAUGCGUUCCAUUAGUUUGUUGGCGGGGUAACGGCCCACCAAGACUACGAUGGAUAGGGGUUCUGAGAGGAAGGUCCCCCACAUUGGAACUGAGACACGGUCCAAACUCCUACGGGAGGCAGCAGUGAGGAAUAUUGGUCAAUGGACGAGAGUCUGAACCAGCCAAGUAGCGUGAAGGAUGACUGCCCUAUGGGUUGUAAACUUCUUUUAUAUGGGAAUAAAGUAUUCCACGUGUGGGAUUUUGUAUGUACCAUAUGAAUAAGGAUCGGCUAACUCCGUGCCAGCAGCCGCGGUAAUACGGAGGAUCCGAGCGUUAUCCGGAUUUAUUGGGUUUAAAGGGAGCGUAGGUGGAUUGUUAAGUCAGUUGUGAAAGUUUGCGGCUCAACCGUAAAAUUGCAGUUGAAACUGGCAGUCUUGAGUACAGUAGAGGUGGGCGGAAUUAGUGGUGUAGCGGUGAAAUGCUGAGAUAUCACGAGGAACUAAGAUUGCGCAGGCAGAUCACUAGACUGCAACUGACACUGAUGCUCGAAAGUGUGGGUAUCAAACAGGAUUAGAUACCCUGGUAGUCCACACAGUAAACGAUGAAUACUCGCUGUUUGCGAUAUACAGUAAGCGGCCAAGCGAAAGCAUUAAGUAUUCCACCUGGGGAGUACGCCGGCAACGGUGAAACUCAAAGGAAUUGACGGGGGCCCGCACAAGCGGAGGAACAUGUGGUUUAAUUCGAUGAUACGCGAGGAACCUUACCCGGGCUUAAAUUGCAUUUGAAUAAUCUGGAAACAGGUUAGCCGCAAGGCAAAUGUGAAGGUGCUGCAUGGUUGUCGUCAGCUCGUGCCGUGAGGUGUCGGCUUAAGUGCCAUAACGAGCGCAACCCUUAUCUUUAGUUACUAACAGGUUAUGCUGAGGACUCUAGAGAGACUGCCGUCGUAAGAUGUGAGGAAGGUGGGGAUGACGUCAAAUCAGCACGGCCCUUACGUCCGGGGCUACACACGUGUUACAAUGGGGGGUACAGAAGGCAGCUACCUGGCGACAGGAUGCUAAUCCCAAAAACCUCUCUCAGUUCGGAUCGAAGUCUGCAACCCGACUUCGUGAAGCUGGAUUCGCUAGUAAUCGCGCAUCAGCCAUGGCGCGGUGAAUACGUUCCCGGGCCUUGUACACACCGCCCGUCAAGCCAUGAAAGCCGGGGGUACCUGAAGUACGUAACCGCAAGGAGCGUCCUAGGGUAAAACUGGUAAUUGGGGCU